GAUGAAUGCUGGCGGCGCGCCUAACACAUGCAAGUCGAGCGGUAACAUGGACUUCGGUCUGAUGACGAGCGGCGGACGGCUGAGUAACGCGUGGGAACAUGCCCCAAAGUGAGGAAUAACUGCCCGAAAGGGUGGCUAAUGCCGCAUAUGAUCUUCGGAUUAAAGGAUUCAUCCGCUUUGGGAGUGGCCUGCGUACGAUUAGGUAGUUGGUGAGGUAAUGGCUCACCAAGCCUACGAUCGUUAACUGGUCUGAGAGGAUGAUCAGUCAGACUGGAACUGAGACACGGUCCAGACUCCUACGGGAGGCAGCAGUGAGGAAUCUUCCACAAUGGGCGAAAGCCUGAUGGAGCGACGCCGCGUGCAGGAUGAAGGCCUUCGGGUUGUAAACUGCUUUUAUAAGUGAAGAAUAUGACGGUAACUUAUGAAUAAGCACCGGCUAACUACGUGCCAGCAGCCGCCGUA
rnacentral:rRNA from 1 species